GCAGACACAUUCCAGCCAAUCAGCAGCAGACCCUCCCUCCCAAACCCUCCCACCUCCUGGACAGCAUCCAUUUUACAUUCAUUGUGAAGCUGCAUUCUUAGUGAGCUGUCCAGGAGGUGGGAGGGUCUGGGAGGGAGGGUCUGCUGCUGAUUGGCUGGAAUGUGUCUG
rnacentral:miRNA from 1 species